rnacentral:rRNA from 1 species
AUGCAGAGAACUUUCCAGAGAUGGAUUGGUGCCUUCGGGAACUCUGACACAGGUGCUGCAUGGCUGUCGUCAGCUCGUGUCGUGAGAUGUUGGGUUAAGUCCGUAACGAGCGCAACCCUUGUCCUUAGUUACCAGCACGUUAUGGUGGGCACUCUAAGGAGACUGCCGGUGACAAACCGGAGGAAGGUGGGGAGUGACGUCAAGUCAUCAUGGCCCUUACGGCCUGGGCUACACACGUGCUACAAUGGUCGGUACAAAGGGUUGCCAAGCCGCGAGGUGGAGCUAAUCCCAUAAAACCGAUCGUAGUCCGGAUCGCAGUCUGCAACUCGACUGCGUGAAGUCGGAAUCGCUAGUAAUCGUGAAUCAGAAUGUCACGGUGAAUACGUUCCCGGGCCUU